rnacentral:lncRNA from 1 species
UAUAAAACAUGUGCUUUUGAUUUCAUUCAUAGUAAAAAAUGGUACGGAAUGUUUUUUUUUCACAUUGCAUACAAGGGUGCUCCUCUCCGUUAUGUAUCUUUAGGUGCUUAUUGAGGGAUGACUCGUGCUUAUAUCUUUUGGCACACACAUGACAAACAAACUGCUCGCCAACCUCCUCUUCGUGGUCUAUUUCAAAUCCUUCUCGUUCCAUUCCUUUAAAAAAAUAUAUACGUUUAUGCAUUUACAUAGUG